rnacentral:pre_miRNA from 1 species
GAUUUCAAUUGAAAAAGUCAUCAACAACAAAGUUGAAUAACUCAUCAAGAUCUAAAAAUUUUAUUUUUGUUUUUUCUUCAUCUGACGAAAUGUUAGUAAUAUUAUUCACAAAUUUUACAUAUAUGUGUUAUAGUUUAUAAAACCAGAUAAGAGAUAUGUCAAUUUUGUGAACAAUGUUACUAUCACUUUGUUGUAUGAAGAAAUGACCAAAAUAAAAGUUUUAGAUCUUGAUGAGUUAUUCAACUUUGUUGUUGAUGACUUUUUCAGUUGAUAUC